AUUGAACGCUGGCGGCAGGCCUAAUACAUGCAAGUCGAGCGGAUGAAGGGAGCUUGCUCCUGGAUUCAGCGGCGGACGGGUGAGUGAUGCCUAGGAAUCUGCCUGGUCGUGGGGGCUAACGUCCGGAAACGGGCGCUAAUACCGCAUACGUCCUGAUGGAGAAAGUGGGGGAUCUUCGGACAUCACGCUAUUAGAUGAGCCUGGGUCGGAUUAGCUAGUUGGUGGGGUAAAGGCCUACCAAGGCGACGAUCCGUAACUGGUCUGAGAGGAUGAUCAGUCACACUGGAACUGAGACACGGUCCAGACUCCUACGGGAGGCAGCAGUGGGGAAUAUUGGACAAUGGGCGAAAGCCUGAUGCAGCCAUGCCGCGUGUGUGAAGAAGGUCUUCGGAUUGUAAAGCACUGUUAGUUGGGAGGAAGGGCAGUAAGUUUAUCCCUUGCCGUUUUGACGUUACCAACAGAAUAAGCACCGGCUAACUUCGUG
rnacentral:rRNA from 1 species